UACGUAGGGCGCAAGCGUUAUCCGGAAUUAUUGGGCGUAAAGAGCUCGUAGGCGGUUUGUCGCGUCUGCCGUGAAAGUCCGGGGCUCAACUCCGGAUCUGCGGUGGGUACGGGCAGACUAGAGUGAUGUAGGGGAGACUGGAAUUCCUGGUGUAGCGGUGAAAUGCGCAGAUAUCAGGAGGAACACCGAUGGCGAAGGCAGGUCUCUGGGCAUUAACCGACGUGAGGAGCGAAAGCAUGGGGAGCGAACAGG
rnacentral:rRNA from 1 species